UCGAGCGGUAAGGCCCUUCGGGGUACACGAGCGGCGAACGGGUGAGUAACACGUGGGUAACCUGCCCUGUACUCUGGGAUAAGCCUGGGAAACUAGGUCUAAUACCGGAUACGACCUGUCACCGCAUGGUGGUGGGUGGAAAGUUCCGGCGGUAUGGGAUGGACCCGCGGCCUAUCAGCUUGUUGGUGGGGUAAUGGCCUACCAAGGCGACGACGGGUAGCCGGCCUGAGAGGGUGACCGGCCACACUGGGACUGAGACACGGCCCAGACUCCUACGGGAGGCAGCAGUGGGGAAUAUUGCACAAUGGGCGAAAGCCUGAUGCAGCGACGCCGCGUGAGGGAUGACGGCCUUCGGGUUGUAAACCUCUUUCAGCGGGGACGAAGGGCAACUGACGGUACCCGCAGAAGAAGCACCGGCUAACUACGUGCCAGCAGCCGCGGUAAUACGUAGGGUGCGAGCGUUGUCCGGAAUUAUUGGGCGUAAAGAGCUCGUAGGCGGUUUGUUGCGUCGGCUGUGAAAACUUCACGCUUAACGUGGAGCCUGCAGUCGAUACGGGCAGACUUGAGUUCGGCAGGGGAGACUGGAAUUCCUGGUGUAGCGGUGAAAUGCGCAGAUAUCAGGAGGAACACCGGUGGCGAAGGCGGGUCUCUGGGCCGAUACUGACGCUGAGGAGCGAAAGCGUGGGGAGCGAACAGGAUUAGAUACCCUGGUAGUCCACGCCGUAAACGGUGGG
rnacentral:rRNA from 1 species